rnacentral:tRNA from 1 species
GCAGAGGUCAUUCAGGGGUAGAGUACUCGCCUUCCAUGCAGAAGUCCCGGGUUCAAUAUCCGGCCAUUGCA